rnacentral:rRNA from 1 species
GGGCCCGCACAAGCGGUGGAGCAUGUGGUUUAAUUCGAUGCAACGCGAAGAACCUUACCAGGGUUUGACAUCCUGCGAAUCUCUUGGAAACAGGAGAGUGCCUUCGGGAACGCAGUGACAGGUGGUGCAUGGCUGUCGUCAGCUCGUGUCGUGAGAUGUUGGGUUAAGUCCCGCAACGAGCGCAACCCACGUCUUUAGUUGCCAGCAUUUAGUUGGGCACUCUAGAGAGACUGCCGGUGAUAAACCGGAGGAAGGUGUGGAUGACGUCAAGUCAUCAUGCCCCUUACAUCCUGGGCUACACACGUACUACAAUGCUACGGACAAAGAGCAGCAAGUUCGCGAGGACAAGCAAAUCUCAUAAACCGUGGCUCAGUUCAGAUCGUAGGCUGCAACUCGCCUACGUGAAGGAGGAAUCGCUAGUAAUCG